rnacentral:rRNA from 1 species
GACGAACGCUGGCGGCGUGCCUAAUACAUGCAAGUCGAGCGAAGCGGGGACGGGUGAGUAACACAGGGAUAACCUCCUAUAAGAUUGGGAUAACUUCUGGACACAGGAGAUAAACAGGAAACUGAUAGAUGGAACCGCGCUGCAUUAGCUAGUUGGUAAGGUAACGGCUUACCAAGGCAACGAGGCAUAGCCGACCUGAGAGGGUGAUCGGCCACACUGGAACUGAGACACGGUCCAGCCUCCUACGGGAGGCAGCAGUAGGGAAUCUUCCGCAAUGGGCGAAAGCCUGACGGAGCAACGCCGCGUGAGUGAUGAAGGUCUUCGGAUCGUAAAACUCUGUUAUUAGGGAAGCGGUACCUAUUCAGAAAGCCACGGCUAACUACGUGCCAGCAGCCGCGGUAAUAC